rnacentral:rRNA from 1 species
GCACAAGCAGUGGAGUAUGUGGUUUAAUUCGAAGCAACGCGAAGAACCUUCCCAGGUCUUGACAUCCAACUAACGAAGUAGAGAUACAUUAGGUGCCCUUCGGGGAAAGUUGAGACAGGUGGUGCAUGGUUGUCGUCAGCUCGUGUCGUGAGAUGUUGGGUUAAGUCCCGCAACGAGCGCAACCCUUGCUAUUAGUUGCUACGCAAGAGCACUCUAAUAGGACUGCCGUUGACAAAA